rnacentral:rRNA from 1 species
GAUGAACGCUGGCGGCGUGCUUAAUACAUGCAAGUCGAACGGAGAAUUGUAGCAAUAUAGUUCUCAGUGGCGAACGGGUGAGUAACACGUUGGUGACCUGCCCCGAAGUGUGGGAUAACAGUCCGAAAGGAUUGCUAAUACCGCAUGUGGUCAUCGGAUUUAGAAACCGAUGACUAAAGGAGCAAUUCGCUUUGGGAGGGACCUGCGUCCCAUCAGCUAGUUGGUGAGGUAAUGGCUCACCAAGGCGACGACGGGUAGGGGACCUGAGAGGGUGGCCCCCCACAAUGGAACUGAAACACGGUCCAUACACCUACGGGUGGCAGCAGUAGGGAAUAUUGGUCAAUGGGCGAAAGCCUGAACCAGCAACACCGCGUGUGCGAUGAAGGCCUUCGGGUCGUAAAGCACUUUUCUGAGAGAUGAGAAAGGACAGUAUCUCAGGAAUAAGUCUCGGCUAACUACGUGCCAGCAGCCGCGGUAAAACGUAGGAGGCAAGCGUUAUCCGGAUUCACUGGGCGUAAAGCGCGUGCAGGCGGUUCGGUAAGUUGGGCGUGAAAUCUCCCGGCUCAACUGGGAGAGGUCGUUCAAUACUAC